rnacentral:rRNA from 1 species
CGGUCCAGACUCCUACGGGAGGCAGCAGUAGGGAAUCUUCCGCAAUGGGCGAAAGCCUGACGGAGCAACGCCGCGUGAGUGAUGAAGGUCUUCGGAUCGUAAAACUCUGUUAUUAGGGAAGAACAUAUGUGUAAGUAACUGUGCACAUCUUGACGGUACCUAAUCAAAAGCCACGGCUAACUACGUGCCAGCAGCCGCGGUAA